CCUCCUCCUUUUUUAGAAGUCGGUUAAAAAACUAUAACCCGACUACGUUAAUAAAAAAAGGACAAAACAAGAAUAUAUUAUAGAUAUAGAUAGAAAUAGAGAAAUGCAUAGAUAUAAAAAUGGUCAUGGUCACAUACUAUAUAUACUAUAUAAUACGAGUACCCAAUGUGAUUAUGCCAGGAACACCUCCAUUUUAACAUAGGUACAUGCAAGAUAUAUGUAUAAUGGGUGUAGCCAUCUAUAAUAUAUUCUAUUAUCGUCAUUUUUUUAUUAACGAAGUCAGGUUAUAGUUUUUAAUUGGAUACGUUUCCGUUUCCCAGUAACACUAGCCAUGCAUUAUCUAUAUUUUGAAUUAAACAAUAUAAUAUAACCACGUCACGUCACGUCUGUACCAUGACUAUUUUUGUACCUACGCAUUUCUCUAUUUCUAUCUAUAAUAUUUUUUGUCUCUAAGUUUGUCUUUUUAUUUGAUCACGCAUCAUUCGUUAUUAAAAGACCGAUUUUUAUGUUUCCGUAGUAGAUAAAACUAAGUGUGGAACAGGUUUUAGACAUUGUUUAAUUCGAAAAAAAAAAACAGUGAAAAACUAUUUUAGCCUUUAAUAAAUUAACACUACGAAAAGCAAAUGUUAGUAGAAUGGCAGAUAUAAACCUAGCUGAGUUUGUUGUGAGCUCUUCUCGGACCAAUACGCUUUGCGCGAACCCUCGUAACUUCAAUUUUAAGUUUUCAACUAUAUUAUCACCAUUCUAAAAAUAUUCUUACCUGACGUUUCGAAAAUGCUUACAAGCACUAAGCCUAAAAAGAAAUUAAUUUCAACUUUGACUUGUUCAUAUUCAAGCUAUGGUAAAGGUGUUGCAGGAUCCCAGUAGAAGGCGCGGGGUAAGACUAGUAUAGGAUAUACAAAGUAUAAGAUCAACGAUCUGACCACGUUCAUAAAAUCUGUUUUUAGAGAAUUGAUGUUUCAUUGUUAUAAUCGUUUUCGUCGGGUAUAGUGCUCCCAAAAACUCCCGAAACCGAUUGUGUAGUUAAAAAGCAUAAUAAGUUUAUUAAACGACUAGCGGACGCCCGCGACUUCGUCCGCGUGGAAAUGAAUGUAAACUUUCAAGCCCUAUUUCACCACUUUAGGGGUUGAUUUUCAAAAAUUUUUGAAUGACAUUAUAUUUCAUAUUUUUUAAUGAUUUAUGAACAAAUUUUUAAAACUAUAACUCUAACAAUGAAGGACUUUCCAUACAAACUUACAACCUCUAUUUCACCCUCUUCUUUUUUUAUUUUCGCAAUAAAAAGUAUCUUAAAACCUUCUCCGUAUUAUGGUCUUAAACCGUGCAAAGUUUUAUUUGAAUUCAUUCAUAGUUGUAUGUCAGCGUGAUGCCCAAAUAACGAAAAAACACGGUCAGACAGACAGACACAAAAAAUCGAAAAAAAAAUAUUUUUAGCUUCAGUAUCGAUUAUAUAACGCCCCCCAACAAAAAUUUUAUAUAAAAAUAUUUUCAAUGUACAAAAUGUACAACUCGAAUUCGUACUAAAAGUAUAGAUUCUAGAUGACGCUGGCGUCCGUUAUGCCACGGUAACGUCUGGUGUUACAAACGGUAUAAGUAAAAUCUCAAGUCUCAAAAAACGACAGACAAUUAUUAGACAAUUUAGGUGUGAUACAUCUCCAUAUCUAAUUCCUCUAUGUAUGCAUGGCACUUGAUUUUUCUAAACAAAAACUUUGGUUUAACUAUCACCAGUCAUAAUUGCAUUAUGAAAUUUACACUGAAAUUAAUUAUUAGUAUUGAAAAAUUCAAUUGUUUACACAAUUACGUGGAAAAUGUUAAUUGAGAAUGUGUUAUAAAAUCGAAGUGUUAAAGUUAAUUUGUCACUACAUUGUUGAGUGCCAAUGGGUAUUGUUCGAGUAAAUAUUAUUAUUAUAGACACAGUGUUUCACAGACAAGUAGCGUGCCAGACACCCACAGACACCAUCUUUUCACACUGCCCAGCAGGUUUCAUGAAAGGGACUCUACAGACAUGAACCGCACAGACAAAAUAUCCACUAGGUGGACCGAGGACAUGAAGCGGGUUGCAGGGAGCCGCUGGAUGCUGGCGGCCUGUGAGCUGUUUUAAAGUCAAUACAAGAGGCAUAUGUCCAGCAAUGGACGUCCAUCUGCUGGAAAUUGCCUUUGAUCUAGUUCAUGGUUUCCUAGAUUUUGUAUAAAAAUGUGUCUGGCAUAAAUAUAUAAAAUAUAAAUAGGGUAUUAUCUAUCAUUUAUUUCUUAUCACUAAUAAAUAACAGAAGGGGUUAUAUAUUCCUAUUACCGGAUCUUAGACUAUUAAUUGAAAUAUGGAAUUUGCAAUCAAACUAAUAAUUUGGCAUACAUAAUAGGGAUGAUGACAGUUUUUUAAAUUGUAUAUAAAUUAAGAGUAUACUAAUAGUAAAGCAAUUUUGUAAAAGGAACAGGGUAUCUGCGAUCAUUACUUUCGGAGCUACAGGGAUUUAAAGAGUCAGAUUUGCGGCGCUGCCGCGGAUCCCUGAAAAACGCCCCAUACAAAAUGGCUCGAAAAAAUGACGUCAUAGGCAAUGUAAUGAUCGUUUGAUUUGUAUGCGCGUUCAAACAAAAUUACUAAUAUCUAUGUUAUUUGUGCGUUUAUCUUUAUAGUUCAUUUAUUAAAAAAUGUCACAUUUAAUGUAAGGAAGCUAAAACUGUAUAAAUUUUCAUCUAAUUACGAUAAAAAAAAUUUAAUAGUUUUUGAAAUUUUAUAAUCUCAUUUAUUUUGCAAAUAUCCAGACAAUCUUUGCUUUUUAUGUAUAAAUUAGUUCAUAUUGACCCUAUUUACCCGAAUGUAUCAUAAAAAUCAAUAUAUUCAAACCUAGUCAUCAUCCCCAUUGCAAGAAGUUAAAAUGUACUCAGUCAAUACGUAAAAUGUUAAAUUGGACUAAGGAGUGAUUAAAAUAUCGUAGUCUUAAAAUUUAUGUAUUCCUACAUUGUUAACUGGCAAUGAGCGCUGUACGAGUAAAUGACCACUUACCAUCUUAAGUUAGACAUAAGUGCUAUAAGUAAGGGAUAAAAAAUAAUUGAAAAGAACUUCCCGGCUCUUCGAAAGACAAAGAAAUCAUUAAAUAGAAAUGUCGAGUGUUUGUGACAAGGGAGUUUGAGCUUUAUUGCUAUGUAGAGAUGGUUUUAAUUUGGCUUGUACGUUGAUAACUUGUUUACUUGAAUCUGGACUGCCUUGCCUUGGGGAGGGCGUAGGCUCAGUGCGGCGGAAUAUACGGUUGGAUAAUUGUGCAAACAAAUAAUAAUGUCGUAGCUAUCGACCCAUAUUCGGCUCACCGCUGAGCUCGAGUCUCCUCUCAGAAUUAGAGAGGUUACACCACGCUGGCCCAAUGCGGAUUGGGAGACUUCACACACGCAGAGAAUUUUGAAAAUUCUCUAGUAUGCAGGUUCCCUCACGAUGUUUUCCUUCACCCUCUGAGACAAGUGAUAUUUAAUUUCUUAAAAUGCACACAACUGAAAAGUUGGAGGAUCCCACACCCUCCGGAAUCGGAAUACUAAUUACGAAAAACAUUCUAUUAGUAACACUUGGUAAGUUGUACAAAAAAAAUAUUAUUGGCUACAGUCACGCCUGGUACUAAUGGAACGAAAGAUCACGAAGAUGUAUGGUGGAACGUGCUUGCGUAGAAAGUGCCUAUUUACUCUUGACUUAAAGAUACCUACGUUGUAAUUACUUUAAUUAACUUAUCACUGUUAAUCAGGAACAAAUAAUUUGUAGGAUGAGGGCAUCGUGAGGGUGUAGAUCACUGCGAUAUCAGCCAUUUGUAUGGUAAAAUGUUGAAAGUAACUAGGUACAUCGAAAACUUCCUGGGCAUACUCCCCGAAAUAGAUGUUGUAGAAACCGCCUAUCGCCCAGUUGGAGCAUCGCCGAAAAGUUGCCUGUAUGUCGGUGAUCUACAGGAUUUAUUUCGGAGAGUGCGCUCAGGAACUUUUCGAUCUAGUUCCCUCUUCACCUUUUUACCAUAUAACUUUGGUAGUUGAUGUCCCCUGGACACGUACGAAGGCGUUUCGAUUCUUCGUCCCUGAUCCGGACUGCGAAGUUAUGGAAUGCCCUUUCAGCUUCCGUUUUCCCUACCUUCUACGCAAGCGCGUUCCACCAUAGGCUGCAUUAUCGCUUACUGUCAAGCAUGAUUGGAACCAAACGCUAACCCAAAUAAUGUAAAAAAAGUAGUUACGGUUCGUAUAGAACCCAGUAAGAAGAGCCAGUCUUGAUCGUUGAAUAUGUAAAGAUGGCAUAAGAAGUUCACAAGAAACAGACAUAUGCCAGCAGUCUCUGAUUAUUCUAUAAGCUAUUUAAGCAAUUGCUUAGGGUAGCACCAGACACGACGGAAAAAAAUGAGCACUCAAAAGUUUAAGCAAUUUCAAAAACCGCGCAAUUUUUUUAAUAGAUUUUCGUAGUUUACUUAAGGAUACGUAGGCUCAUUGAGGAAGAUUGCUUGGGGAAUCAAAUUUUCUUUUCAUUAUGCUUAGGUGACUGACUAACUGUCUGUCUGACUCAUGUGUGAUUGUUAAUUCAACGCGGCGUAAACGAAACCAUAGUCCUUUUUUAUGAGAGAAGUCCCCCAGUCGAAUGCCUUAUUGGCGCUCAUUGGUAUUUGGUAAUCGCAGUCUCAUUGUCAUUUGUGUAAGGCGCCGUCAAUUUUAGUUCAGCAAGCAAGAUGCUUCUGCGCUCGCCCAAACCCCCCGGUGACGCCGUAGUGGUCCCACAUGGAGCCAUCGGCACUUACUCAACACGAAAAAAAAAAAAAAAUAACAAGAAGGGCGACACACAAGGCAAAAACUCAUUAUAAAAACAUCGUUACAGAUUAGCUCUACAGCUAGAUAUUAUAUUACUUUGGUUGUCACCGUCUCAGAACUGUCAAACAAUUUAAAUUCUGCUUCUAAACGUAAGGAAACGUCGAGCAAACCGCUCGACGUUUCCUUCACCCGUAUGCGCUCAGAUAUCAAUUGAACGAAUUAUUUAUGAAUGUAGAUCACCUUGGAGGCUAAAUAUACAAGACUGCCGCUCUGGUAAUUAACUCAUUGUGCUGAUUUACUUGUAGGCAAUGACAUUAUAAUAUGUACCUACUUCUACAUUGUUUCAUUUAUAUUAUUUUGGUAAGAAGUUCCUUUAUAAAGCGACAGCCUAUCAGACCUGACUGAGUUUGUUGUGGGCUCUUCUCAGACCAAGGCGCCCUCGCCCUUUGGAACCCUUGUUACAUUAACUUUGAGUUUUCGACCAAUUAUUAUCAACUAUUGUAAUUAUCGUCGUCGUCAUCGUCAUCAACCCAUAUUCGGCUCACCGCUGAGCUCGAGUCUCCUCUUCAGAAUGAGAGGGGUCAGGCCAAUAGUCCACCACGCUGGCCCAAUGCGGAUUGGCAGACUUCACACACGCAGAGAAUUAAGAUAAUUCUCUGGUAUGCAGGUUUCCUCAUGAUGUUUUCGUUCACCGUUUGAGACACGUGAUAUUUAAUUUUUUUAAAAUACACACAACUAAAAAGUUGGAGGUGCAUGCCCCGGACCGGAUUCGAACCUACACCCUCCGGAAUCGGAGGCAGAGGUCAUAUCCACUGAGCUAUCACGGUUCUGUUGUAAUUAUAAUCUAAUUAUAUUAUUACCUGACCUUCCGAAACUGUAAACUAAGCCUAAUUCAAGUUAACGAACUUUGACUUUGACUUUGACCUUCCAUGUUAUAAGAGCUGUAAGUUCGUCAAUCCACGCUCUUACUAUAGGUAAGAACGGUUGACAUAUAUAGUAUUUGUAUAAUGAUGGCUUUGGCCAGUAACAAACUUAAAACCUGUUACGUCGUAAACCAAACGAAUGUCUACCAAUCACAUGCUCUUUGGAGACUCCUCCUAAAAUGCGUUGGAAUCCGUGUGUUUUCGGGAUAAACCACCCAAGAUAAACAAAAAUGAGUAGACAGGUGGAAAUUAUAACUACACAAAAACACUACAAGUCGUUCUAUUUCUUUCGGCGUAAUUACUUUGUUUCAAGUCCGUUUUUCCGUAUGAAAUAAUACGAAGGAAUAUUUCACCCACCCAUAUUUCAUCAAAUCAAAUAAUUUAUAUAUAUAUGGAUUUAAGUAAGUUUUAAAUGUUAUUAUUUAUUUCGAAAAUAUUUGGUAUAACCUGAUUACUCACAUACAUAGGUGCAUCGACACAGAUGAACUAAAAGUUGUGAACAAAAAUCAUAUAAUUACUGUAGAACUUCAAACGAAAUAAUUAGACUUAUUUGCACCUACAUUGGGUAUCUAAAUGCGAUUUUAAAUUAAAAAUAACACGCUUAUAUUUAAUUAAUAUCUGGUAAAACUUGAUUACUGUAUCAGAACAAUGAAGUAAAAGCUGGGAAUAAAAAUCUUAUAAUGGGGAUGAUGACUAGGUUUGAAUAUAUUGAUUUUUAUGAUACAUUCGGGUAAAUAGGGUCAAUGUUAACUAAUUUAUACAUAAAAAGCAAAGAUUGUUUGGAUAUUUGCAAAAUAAAUGGGAUUAUAAAAUUUCAAAACUAUUCAAAAUAUUUUAUCGUAAUUAGAUGAAAAUGAAUACAGUUUUAGCUUCCUUACGUUAAAUGUGACAUUUUUUAAUAUGGGAACUAUAAGCAUAAACGCACAAAUAACAAAGAUAUUAGUAUUUUUGUUUGAACGCGCAUACAAAUCUAACGAUCGUUACAUUGUCUAUGACGUCAUUAUUUCGAGCCAUUUUGUAUGGGGCGUUUUUCAGGGAUCCGCGGCAGCGCCGCAAAUCUGACUCUUUAAAUCCCUGUAGCUCCGAAAGUAAUGAUCGCAGAUAUCCUGUUACUUUUACAAAAUUGCUUUACUAUUAGUAUACUAUUAAUUUAUAUACAAUUUAAAAAACUGUCAUUAUCCCUAUUACUGUCAAACUUCGAACGGAGAAUCAUAUUAAUAGCACCUACAUUUGGUUUCCAAAUGUAGGUGCUUUUUAAAUUAAAGAGAGAGACGAAUAUCU